rnacentral:rRNA from 1 species
UAGCUUGCUACCUGACCUAGCGGCGGACGGGUGAGUAAUGCUUAGGAAUCUGCCUAUUAGUGGGGGACAACAUUCCGAAAGGAAUGCUAAUACCGCAUACGCCCUACGGGGGAAAGCAGGGGAUCUUCGGACCUUGCGCUAAUAGAUGAGCCUAAGUCAGAUUAGCUAGUUGGUGGGGUAAAGGCCUACCAAGGCGACGAUCUGUAGCGGGUCUGAGAGGAUGAUCCGCCACACUGGGACUGAGACACGGCCCAGACUCCUACGGGAGGCAGCAGUGGGGAAUAUUGGACAAUGGGCGAAAGCCUGAUCCAGCCAUGCCGCGUGUGUGAAGAAGGCCUUUUGGUUGUAAAGCACUUUAAGCGAGGAGGAGGCUACUGAGAUUAAUACUCUUGGAUAGUGGACGUUACUCGCAGAAUAAGCACCGGCUAACUCUGUGCCAGCAGCCGCGGUAAUACAGAGGGUGCGAGCGUUAAUCGGAUUUACUGGGCGUAAAGCGUGCGUAGGCGGCUUUUUAAGUCGGAUGUGAAAUCCCUGAGCUUAACUUAGGAAUUGCAUUCGAUACUGGGAAGCUAGAGUAUGGGAGAGGAUGGUAGAAUUCCAGGUGUAGCGGUGAAAUGCGUAGAGAUCUGGAGGAAUACCGAUGGCGAAGGCAGCCAUCUGGCCUAAUACUGACGCUGAGGUACGAAAGCAUGGGGAGCAAACAGGAUUAGAUACCCUGGUAGUCCAUGCCGUAAACGAUGUCUACUAGCCGUUGGGGCCUUUGAGGCUUUAGUGGCGCAGCUAACGCGAUAAGUAGACCGCCUGGGGAGUACGGUCGCAAGACUAAAACUCAAAUGAAUUGACGGGGGCCCGCACAAGCGGUGGAGCAUGUGGUUUAAUUCGAUGCAACGCGAAGAACCUUACCUGGUCUUGACAUAGUAAGAACUUUCCAGAGAUGGAUUGGUGCCUUCGGGAACUUACAUACAGGUGCUGCAUGGCUGUCGUCAGCUCGUGUCGUGAGAUGUUGGGUUAAGUCCCGCAACGAGCGCAACCCUUUUCCUUAUUUGCCAGCGGGUUAAGCCGGGAACUUUAAGGAUACUGCCAGUGACAAACUGGAGGAAGGCGGGGACGACGUCAAGUCAUCAUGGCCCUUACGACCAGGGCUACACACGUGCUACAAUGGUCGGUACAAAGGGUUGCUACCUAGCGAUAGGAUGCUAAUCUCAAAAAGCCGAUCGUAGUCCGGAUUGGAGUCUGCAACUCGACUCCAUGAAGUCG